CUCUCGCCCUUCCUCGGAGCGGUCGGGGAUGACGCAGACUCUGUUGCCUUCCUCCGCGCCAUCCGGGACGCAAACGCCUCCCUCAGAUCGAUGACCUGAACUUCUGUUCUUGACAACAGUAUCACCGAGCUUCUUCCGUACUAAGAGGUGUUGGAACAUCCUUCCAUUUGCCUGAUUCCUAAGUAGAAGUGUUUGCCGGAACAUCCUUCCAUUUUCAAUGAUGUACUGGCUGCACAAGUUGCUGGCUUAGGUAGUCUGUACUGAACUGCACUAGCUUGUUAUAAGAUGUCAAGUAUUUAUAGUUGCUAUAUGCUAAUUCGCAGGUCCAAUCCAUAUGAAAAUUAUGCUAAUAUGUUGUGUUAACAUUUCUGAUGUAUUUUUUUUAAUACACGAACAUGCUUUUGAGCAGUUGUACUUGACGGCAUCGACAGUGACCACUCCUCCAGAAGCAAAAUCUAUGGUUGAGAUGGUCGGUCGAAAUGUGUGAUAGGGAUAUGAACAAGAGGAAUGGCCUUGAGCUUGGCGAGCACAUAGUGUCGUGGUCCGACCAGGCGAAGGAGGGGAGAAGAAAAGGAGAGGCACGAGGAGGGCGAGAAGAUGAGGACAUACAGUGUGGCUAACUGAUGUGCUGCGUCGAGGCCGAGGUGGUGGCACACGGUGGGUGGGUGGUCCACAACCAAAUUCCGUUGGUACAUGCCAUUAAAUUUGUUGUGGACUAUCUAAAUUGUUAUCAAUCGUACAUCGACCUAUGGAUGCACUAUGGAGCAGUCAGUGCACAUACCAAAGUUUCAAGGUUAUAGGUCGAGGUCUGCCUCCAUAUGACAUGCAUGAUUCAUGCAGAUUGUGUAUAUCCAUGGCAGCAGCGACUAGCAUAUGUCAGAUUGAUGUACUCUGACCUACCUAGGCUUUGACAGUAGUCUUGCUUAUCACGGGAUCAGAUAUUCGAAAUUCCGCUCAAGGAGCACCUGAGGUAUUUUUGAUGUGUGGGGAUAGCAAAGGAACACGUGUUCCCCUUUAUGGCUGAGGGGGCGGAAGCAGCAAAAGAAACAUGUUCCUAUAGAAACUCGUGUUGCACUAGAUGCAUUUGCUAUCUAUGGUUUUAUAAUGAAAAGUAGAGUGUGGUUCAUCAUUGAACUUUGUAAAUGAGAUACUAUGAUCAGUUAUAACUUUUGACACUUA